CAAACAUAGCAACAUCUUCUGGAAUGUCCUCAUCACUACUUUGAACAUAUUGAUUGUGAAGUCUUGCAUAUUCCAGUAGCUCACUGAGACGGUCCUUCAUGAUUACUGAAGCCGCUGCUUUAACUCUGUCUCUGCCCGGAUUAUAAGUACGAAAGAACACGAGAUGCUGGACACGGGUCAUGUCCCAGGAGACACCAUGUCCGACUGCUCUUC